rnacentral:rRNA from 1 species
ACUUAAAUUGAAGAGUUUGAUCAUGGCUCAGAUUGAACGCUGGCGGCAGGCCUAACACAUGCAAGUCGAGCGGUAGCACAGAGAGCUUGCUCUCGGGUGACGAGCGGCGGACGGGUGAGUAAUGUCUGGGAAACUGCCUGAUGGAGGGGGAUAACUACUGGAAACGGUAGCUAAUACCGCAUAAUGUCGCAAGACCAAAGUGGGGGACCUUCGGGCCUCAUGCCAUCAGAUGUGCCCAGAUGGGAUUAGCUAGUAGGUGGGGUAAUGGCUCACCUAGGCGACGAUCCCUAGCUGGUCUGAGAGGAUGACCAGCCACACUGGAACUGAGACACGGUCCAGACUCCUACGGGAGGCAGCAGUGGGGAAUAUUGCACAAUGGGCGCAAGCCUGAUGCAGCCAUGCCGCGUGUGUGAAGAAGGCCUUCGGGUUGUAAAGCACUUUCAGCGGGGAGGAAGGCGAUAAGGUUAAUAACCUUGUUGAUUGACGUUACCCGCAGAAGAAGCACCGGCUAACUCCGUGCCAGCAGCCGCGGUAAUACGGAGGGUGCAAGCGUUAAUCGGAAUUACUGGGCGUAAAGCGCACGCAGGCGGUCUGUCAAGUCGGAUGUGAAAUCCCCGGGCUCAACCUGGGAACUGCAUUCGAAACUGGCAGGCUAGAGUCUUGUAGAGGGGGGUAGAAUUCCAGGUGUAGCGGUGAAAUGCGUAGAGAUCUGGAGGAAUACCGGUGGCGAAGGCGGCCCCCUGGACAAAGACUGACGCUCAGGUGCGAAAGCGUGGGGAGCAAACAGGAUUAGAUACCCUGGUAGUCCACGCCGUAAACGAUGUCGAUUUGGAGGUUGUGCCCUUGAGGCGUGGCUUCCGGAGCUAACGCGUUAAAUCGACCGCCUGGGGAGUACGGCCGCAAGGUUAAAACUCAAAUGAAUUGACGGGGGCCCGCACAAGCGGUGGAGCAUGUGGUUUAAUUCGAUGCAACGCGAAGAACCUUACCUGGUCUUGACAUCCACAGAACUUAGCAGAGAUGCUUUGGUGCCUUCGGGAACUGUGAGACAGGUGCUGCAUGGCUGUCGUCAGCUCGUGUUGUGAAAUGUUGGGUUAAGUCCCGCAACGAGCGCAACCCUUAUCCUUUGUUGCCAGCGGUUAGGCCGGGAACUCAAAGGAGACUGCCAGUGAUAAACUGGAGGAAGGUGGGGAUGACGUCAAGUCAUCAUGGCCCUUACGACCAGGGCUACACACGUGCUACAAUGGCAUAUACAAAGAGAAGCGACCUCGCGAGAGCAAGCGGACCUCAUAAAGUAUGUCGUAGUCCGGAUUGGAGUCUGCAACUCGACUCCAUGAAGUCGGAAUCGCUAGUAAUCGUAGAUCAGAAUGCUACGGUGAAUACGUUCCCGGGCCUUGUACACACCGCCCGUCACACCAUGGGAGUGGGUUGCAAAAGAAGUAGGUAGCUUAACCUUCGGGAGGGCGCUUACCACUUUGUGAUUCAUGACUGGGGUGAAGUCGUAACAAGGUAACCGUAGGGGAACCUGCGGUUGGAUCACCUCCUUACCUUAAAGAA